CCUGACUCCGUCUAGCCCCGCUCCGCGAGAAGAGGCUGAACUGCCCCAUCUGCUUCUAAUUUCUUUCUUUCUUUCUUUCUUUCUUUUUUUCCCCUCUUUUCCUUUUCUUCUUUUAAAUAUACGUUUGGAAAUUUGCCGGGCGUGGUGGCGGGCGCCUGUAAUCCCAGCUACUCGGGAGGCUGAGGCAGGAGAAUCGCUUGAAUCCGGGAGACGGAGGUUGCAGUGAGCCGAGAACGCGCCACUACACUCCAGCCUGGACGACGAGAGUGAUACUCCGUCUCAGUCAAUCAAUCAAUCAAUCAAUCGUUUGAUUUUCGUUUUAUGCUUUUACUUCCAAAUUUAUAUUUAUUGCAAAAAAUGUGGAAUAUAACAAAGUGUAAAGGUGAAACUGAAAUAACCCGAAAUUAUAUUUCCCCCUCUGUGGUUUUUUUUUUUCCGUCUCUGUGUUUUUCAAUGUUUUUCAGGCCUUCUGUCUUGAGCUCGUAUUACUGCUGUUCACUGAUGUAUUGUAAAAGCGUAAAACCGGACGUGACCCAAAUGUCUAUCAAAGGAGACUGAUGAGAGAAAUAAACGGAUUUGUUCACACAACGGCUUCUACAGCAAAGAAACAGAAGGUAGCUCCAAGUGCUCUGAAAUGGAAAGAAAUGGGGUUUGGUCAUGUUACCCAGGCUGGUCUCAAGCUCCUGGGAUCAAGUGAUCCGUCCGCCUUUGCCUCCCAAAGUGCUGGGAUUACAGCGGGGAGCCACUGCGCCCAGCCCAGCCAGCCCGAUUCUGACCCAGAGGGUUUAGAAGUUGCUUAGACAGAUCUGCUCCUGUAAGUUCACAGAACUCCUCUGGCUACUGCUGUCCCUUUUUUUCCUGAGUCUUGUUUGCUGAAAUCUUCUUGAGAUUCUGUGAGACAAUAGCCCCUAUUUCUUCCAGUAAAUUACUCUUUUUCUUCCCCUUUAGACAGCCAGUGCUGGUUUCUGUUACAUGUAAACAAAAAGGAUUUUAUUUUUUAUUUUUUUAGGCUAGUCAAGUGAAGCAGUGGGAGGCGGAGGACAAAAAGAAUUUUGACUAAGGCAAUAAAUAUAUUAUACAAGUGAAGUAUUUCCCAAACUGUAUUCUGUGGAAUGCUGUGUUCUCAAAUGUUAACAAGUUCCAUACAAGAACCAUUUAUUUCUAAAUUCUAAAGUCACAUUCAUAUUAUGAAUUAUAUUAAACAUAUAUAGUUACUUUUAUUAUACCUAAUAAUCUGUCUUUAUAAAAGUGUUUACCCAAAAAUGCCAGCAGAUUCCAUGAGAAACUACCUGUACUACAAUGAUCGUCAAACUUUGGUGCAUACAUGACAGAAUCAACCGGAGGGCUUGUUAAAGGAUUGCUGAGUCAAACCCCUCGUUUCAGCAGGUUUGUGGUGGGGCCUGAGAAUUUACAUUUCUUUUUUUUUUUUUUUUAGACGGAGUCUUGCUCUGUUGCCCAGACUGGAGUGCAGUGGUGCGAUCUUGGCUCACUGCAACCUCCGCCUCCCGGUUCAAGCGAUUCUUCUGCCUCAGCCUCCCGAGUAGCUGGGACUACAGGUGCCCGCCACCAUGCUCAGCUAAUUUUUGGAUUUUUAGUAGAGACGGGGUUUUACCAUAUUGGCCAGGCUGGUCUCGAACUCCUGACCUUGUGACCCACCCACCUCGGCCUCCCAAAUUGCUGGGAUUACAGGCAAGAGCCACCGCGCCCUGCCGAGAAUUUGCAUUUCUAACAAGUUCCCAGGUGAUGCUGACACUGCUGGCUCAUGGAACCACUGCUGUAGUAUUUUCCAAAUUAUCCUGAUUCUAAGAACCACCUAUGACCUGUGCUGUUUUUUCAGUGGUUACUGGCUCAUGUCACAUAAAUUCUUUUAGGAUUCAAACAUGUUUGUGAUAUUACUCAGUAUUUACAUCUUGCUUUUACUGCAGCAUGAUAGAAAAAUUAACCACAGGUAUAUCAUAACAAAAAGACCAUGAGUUACCAUUUUCACAAAGUUCAGAUAUAUUUAAAUUAGCCUAUUUAAUCUUUUUUUGGUUGUUGUUGAGAUGGAGUCUCACUCUGUCUCUCAGGCUGGAGUACAGUGGCACAAUCUCAGCUCACUGCAACCUCUGCCUCCCAGGUUCAAGUAAUUCUCCUGCCUCAGCCUCCCGAGUAGCGGGGAUUACAGGUGCCCAACACCACACAUGGCUAAUUUUUGUAUUUUUAGUAGAGAUGGGGUUUUGCCAUGUUAGCCAGGCUGGUCUUGAACUCCUGACCUCAGAUGAUCCGCCUGCCUCGGCCUCUCAAAGUGCUGGGAUUACAGGCAUGAGCCAUCGCACCCAGCCUAUGGUACACCUUUACUGAGGAAACAAUUCAGGAACAUCACUCUUAGUAAGGCAAUUGUUGAUUAUAAGUCAAAAAAACACCAUCAUGUACAAAUUCAGGGGAUUUUGUAUACCUUGUUUUUUUGGUUACAAAUAUGCAAAAUUAAAGAUGUUUGCUAAUACUUGUUUCCAAUUUUUAAACUUUUCAAGUGUUGCACUGUUAAUAAUGUUAAAAUAAAAGGCAUUUGACUUAGUA
rnacentral:lncRNA from 1 species